UCCUGACUGACCGAUAGUGAACCAGUACCGUGAGGGAAAGGCGAAAAGAACCCCGGCGAGGGGAGUGAAAAAGAACCUGAAACCGUGUACGUACAAGCAGUGGGAGCACCCUUCGGGGUGUGACUGCGUACCUUUUGUAUAAUGGGUCAGCGACUUAUAUUCUGUAGCAAGGUUAACCGAAUAGGGGAGCCGGAGGGAAACCGAGUCUUAAUUGGGCGUUAAGUUGCAGGGUAUAGACCCGAAACCCGGUGAUCUAGCCAUGGGCAGGUUGAAGGUUGGGUAACACUAACUGGAGGACCGAACCGACUAAUGUUGAAAAAUUAGCGGAUGACCUGUGGCUGGGGGUGAAAGGCCAAUCAAACCGGGAGAUAGCUGGUUCUCCCCGAAAGCUAUUUAGGUAGCGCCUCGUGAAUUCAUCUCCGGGGGUAGAGCACUGUUUCGGCUAGGGGGCCAUCCCGGCUUACCAACCCGAUGCAAACUGCGAAUACCGGAGAAUGUUAUCACGGGAGACACACGGCGGGUGCUAACGUCCGUCGUGAAGAGGGAAACAACCCAGACCGCCAGCUAAGGUCCCAAAGUCAUGGUUAAGUGGGAAACGAUGUGGGAAGGCCCAGACAGCCAGGAUGUUGGCUUAGAAGCAGCCAUCAUUUAAAGAAAGCGUAAUAGCUCACUGGUCGAGUCGGCCUGCGCGGAAGAUGUAACGGGGCUAAACCAUGCACCGAAGCUGCGGCAGCGACACUGUGUGUUGUUGGGUAGGGGAGCGUUCUGUAAGCCUGUGAAGGUGUGUCGUGAGGCAUGCUGGAGGUAUCAGAAGUGCGAAUGCUGACAUAAGUAACGAUAAAGCGGGUGAAAAGCCCGCUCGCCGGAAGACCAAGGGUUCCUGUCCAACGUUAAUCGGGGCAGGGUGAGUCGACCCCUAAGGCGAGGCCGAAAGGCGUAGUCGAUGGGAAACGGGUUAAUAUUCCCGUACUUGGUGUUACUGCGAAGGGGGGACGGAGAAGGCUAUGUUGGCCGGGCGACGGUUGUCCCGGUUUAAGCGUGUAGGUGUGUGUUCCAGGUAAAUCCGGUUCACUUUAACACUGAGGCGUGACGACGAGGCACUACGGUGCUGAAGCAACAAAUGCCCUGCUUCCAGGAAAAGCCUCUAAGCAUCAGGUAACAUCAAAUCGUACCCCAAACCGACACAGGUGGUCAGGUAGAGAAUACCAAGGCGCUUGAGAGAACUCGGGUGAAGGAACUAGGCAAAAUGGUGCCGUAACUUCGGGAGAAGGCACGCUGACACGUAGGUGAAGUGAUUUACUCAUGGAGCUGAA
rnacentral:rRNA from 1 species